AUCCUACGGGAGGCAGCAGUGGGGAAUAUUGCACAAUGGGCGCAAGCCUGAUGCAGCCAUGCCGCGUGUAUGAAGAAGGCCUUCGGGUUGUAAAGUACUUUCAGCAGUGAGGAAGGUGGAUAUGUUAAUAGCAUAUUCAUUUGACGUUAGCUGCAGAAGAAGCACCGGCUAACUCCGUGCCAGCAGCCGCGGUAAUACGGAGGGUGCGAGCGUUAAUCGGAAUUACUGGGCGUAAAGCGCAUGCAGGUGGUUUGUUAAGUCAGAUGUGAAAGCCCGGGGCUCAACCUCGGAAUUGCAUUUGAAACUGGCAAACUAGAGUACUGUAGAGGGGGUAGAAUUUCAGGUGUAGCGGUGAAAUGCGUAGAGAUCUGAAGGAAUACCGGUGGCGAAGGCGGCCCCCUGGACAGAUACUGACACUCAGAUGCGAAAGCGUGGGGAGCAAACAGGAUUAGAUACCCUGGGAG
rnacentral:rRNA from 1 species